AUUGAACGCUGGCGGCAGGCCUAACACAUGCAAGUCGAGCGAGAGGAGGACGGGUGAGUAAUGUAUGGGAAACUGCCCGAUGGAGGGGGAUAACUACUGGAAACGGUAGCUAAUACCGCAUACCAUCGGAUGAGCCCAGAUGGGAGUAGCUAGUAGGUGGGGUAAUGGCUCACCUAGGCGACGAUCCCUCGCUGGUCUGAGAGGAUGAACAGCCACACUGGAACUGAGAGACGGGCCAGACUCCUACGGGAGGCAGAAGUGGGGAAUAUUGCACAAUGGGCGCAAGCCUGAUGCAGCCAUGCCGCGUGUAUGAAGAAGGCCUUCGGGUUGUAAAGUACUGUCAGCGGGGAGGCGGUACUCGCAGAAGAAGCACCGGCUAACUCCGUGCCAGCAGCCGCGGUAAUUC
rnacentral:rRNA from 1 species